GAUGAACGCUGGCGGCGUGCCUAAUACAUGCAAGUCGAGCGAACGGACGAGAAGCUUGCUUCUCUGAUGUUAGCGGCGGAGGGGUGAGUAACACGUGGAUAACCUACCUAUAAGACUGGGAUAACUUCGGGAAACCGGAGCUAAUACCGGAUAAUAUUUUGAACCGCAUGGUUCAAAAGUGAAAGACGGUCUUGCUGUCACUUAUAGAUGGAUCCGCGCUGCAUUAGCUAGUUGGUAAGGUAACGGCUUACCAAGGCAACGAUGCAUAGCCGACCUGAGAGGGUGAUCGGCCACCCUGGAACGGAGACACGGUCCAGACUCCUACGGGAGGCAGCAGUAGGGAAUCUUCCGCAAUGGGCGAAAGCCUGACGGAGCAACGCCGCGUGAGUGAUGAAGGUCUUCGGAUCGUAAAACUCUGUUAUUAGGGAAGAACAUAUGUGUAAGUAACUGUGCACAUCUUGACGGUACCUAAUCAGAAAGCCACGGCUAACUACGUG
rnacentral:rRNA from 1 species